AGUGAUCUUAGCAGAGUUUCUCAACAGGUGGACCUAAAAAUGAACAUAAGUAAGACGAAAAUCAUGUCUAUUGCUUAUGU